AACGAACGCUGGCGGCAUGCCUAACACAUGCAAGUCGAACGAGACCUCCGGGCCUAGGGGCGCACGGGUGCGUAACGCGGGGGAAGUUGCCCUUAGGUUCGGAAUAACUCCCCGAAAGGGGAGCUAAUACCGGUUAAUGUCAUCGGGCCUAAGAUUUAUCGCUUUUGGAUGGGGGCGCGUUGGAUUAGCGGGUUGGUAGGGUAAAAGCCUGCCAACGCGACGAUCCAUAGCUGGUCGGUGAGGAUGCCACGCUACGCUUGGGCUGAGACCCGGCCCAGACUCCUACGGGGGGCAGCAGAGGGUUGUAUUAGGGGCUGGGCCAUGGCCUGGUCCAGCAGUGCCGCGUGUGUCAUGAUUCGCUUAGGGUUGUAAAGCUCUUUUACCCGGGGUGAUAAUGACGGUACCGGGUGAAUAAGCUCCGGCUAACUCCGUG
rnacentral:rRNA from 1 species